rnacentral:rRNA from 1 species
CCUACGGGAGGCUGCAGUGGGGAAUAUUGGGCAAUGGGCGCAAGCCUGACCCAGCAACGCCGCGUGAAGGAAGAAGGCUUUCGGGUUGUAAACUUCUUUUCUCAGGGACGAAGCAAGUGACGGUACCUGAGGAAUAAGCCACGGCUAACUACGUGCAAGCAGUCGCGGUAAUACGUAGGUGGCAAGCGUUAUACGGAUUUACUGGGUGUAAAGGGCGUGUAGGCGGGACUGCAAGUCAGAUGUGAAAGCCAUGGGCUCAACCUCUGGCCUGCCUUUGAAACUGUAGUUCUUGAGUACGAGAGAGGCAGACGGAAUUCCUAGUGUAGCGGUGAAAUGCGUAGAUAUUAGGAGGAACACCAGUGGCGAAGGCGGUCUGCUGGACAUCAACUGACGCUGAGGCGCGAAAGCGUGGGGAGCAAACAGGAUUAGAUACCCUAGUAGUC